UUGUCCCUACGGGGCGCAGCAGUGGGGGAUAUUGCACAAUGGGGGGAACCCUGAUGCAGCGACGCCGCGUGGGUGAAGAAGCGCCUCGGCGCGUAAAGCCCUGUCAGCAGGGAAGAAAAUGACGGUACCUGAAGAAGAAGCCCCGGCUAACUACGUGCCAGCAGCCGCGGUAAUACGUAGGGGGCAAGCGUUAUCCGGAUUUACUGGGCGUAAAGGGGGCGCAGACGGCGUUGAAAGCAAGGAGUGAAAGCCCGGGGCC
rnacentral:rRNA from 1 species